rnacentral:rRNA from 1 species
AGCGAACGCUGGCGGCAGGUCUAACACAUGCAAGUCGAACGGACCCUUCGGGGUUAGUGGCGGACGGGUGAGUAACACGUGGGAACGUGCCCUUUGGUUCGGAACAACUCAGGGAAACUUGAGCUAAUACCGAAUGUGCCCUUCGGGGGAAAGAUUUAUCGCCAUUGGAGCGGCCCGCGUCUGAUUAGCUAGUUGGUGGGGUAAUGGCCCACCAAGGCGACGAUCAGUAGCUGGUCUGAGAGGAUGAUCAGCCACAUUGGGACUGAGACACGGCCCAAACUCCUACGGGAGGCAGCAGUGGGGAAUUUUGCGCAAUGGGCGAAAGCCUGACGCAGCCAUGCCGCGUGAAUGAUGAAGGUCUUAGGAUUGUAAAAUUCUUUCACCGGGGACGAUAAUGACGGUACCCGGAGAAGAAGCCCCGGUUAACUUCGUGCCAGCCGCCGCAGUAAGAC